rnacentral:rRNA from 1 species
UACGGAAGGCAGCAGUGGGGAAUAUUGCACAAUGGGCGCAAGCCUGAUGCAGCCAUGCCGCGUGUAUGAAGAAGGGCCUUCGGGUUGUAAAGUACUUUCAGUCGUGAGGAAGGUGUUAAGGUUAAUAACCUUAGCAAUUGACGUUAGCGACAGAAGAAGCACCGGCUAACUCCGUGCCAGCAGCCGCGGUAAUACGGAGGGUGCGAGCGUUAAUCGGAAUUACUGGGCGUAAAGGGCACGCAGGCGGUUAAUUAAGUUGGAUGUGAAAUCCCCGGGCUUAACCUGGGAAUGGCAUUCAGGACUGGUUAGCUAGAGUCUUGUAGAGGGGGUAGAAUUCCAUGUGUAGCGGUGAAAUGCGUAGAGAUGUGGAGGAAUACCGGUGGCGAAGGCGGCCCCCUGGACAAAGGACUGACGCUCAUGUGCGAAAGCGUGGGGAGCAAACAGGGAUUAGAUACC